rnacentral:lncRNA from 1 species
GUCAUUUUUAAGACUCUUUUGAUCACUUAAUAAUUUAUGUCGAAAAUUAUGGAAUUACAUUACAUUAUCUUACGAAAUUACAUUAUACUAUUGUUAAUAUUAGAAUUAUGCUACUAUAUUAUCGAUAGUACUAAACGUUUAGUGCUAUCGAGUUUUCUGCCUUUGGAUGAAAGGAUGAGCGGUUAGGAUGAUAAUAAUUUGCGGUUAGGAUGAUAAUGAUACUCUAGGGUUGAGUGGAUGGUUGGUUAAAUAGUAUAAUUUAACAAAUAAAAAUAAUCAGAUAAUAAAUCUAAUUGUAGAAACCUCGAUAGUACGAUAA